UCGAACGCUGGCGGUGUGUCUAAGGCAUGCAAGUCGAACGAACUUCAUUUCUUCGGAAAUAAAGUUAGUGGCAAACGGGAGAGGAACACAUUGGUGAUUCACCCUGCACUCGCGAAUAGCCCGGAGAAAUCCGGAGUAAUACGCGAUAAGAUGAGGGGACGCAAGUCAUUCUCAUUGAAAGUUUUUUCGGUGCAGGAGAAGCCUAUGUUUUAUCAGCUAGUUGGUGAGGUAAUGGCUCACCAAGGCUAUGACGAAUACCGGGCGUGAGAGCGUGGCCCGGCUCACUGGGACUGAGACACGGCCCAGACACCUACGGGUGGCUGCAGUCAAGAAUAUUCCGCAAUGCCCGAAAGGGUGACGGAGCGACACCGCGUGUCGGAUGAAGGCCUUCGGGUCGUAAACGACUGUUCUGUGGGACGAAACAAUGACGGUACCACAGGAGAAAGAGGUUGCUAACUCUGU
rnacentral:rRNA from 1 species